rnacentral:lncRNA from 1 species
CUAAGACUUAUCUAUCUCUGCGGGGUGCUAGCUCCCUUAUAGAGAAGACCUUUUGAUGAUUGGUUUGAUCUUUCUUUAGAUCUGGAAGAUGAUCUUCAGUCGAAGAAGCAGUGGAGGUAGAAGAAAGGCAGCAACAGCACAACUUUCUUCCUCGGAGUCCCACACCUUGUACCAAUAGAGUUUUUUUUUUUCAAACUUAGAAGGGAGGAUGCCAAAAAGUCCC